rnacentral:rRNA from 1 species
CACGUAGGGCGCAAGCGUUGUCCGGAAUUAUUGGGCGUAAAGAGCUCGUAGGCGGUCUGUUGCGUCCGCUGUGAAAACCCGGGGCUUAACCCUGGGCUGGCAGUGGAUACGGACAGACUAGAGGUAGGUAGGGGAGAAUGGAAUUCCCGGUGUAGCGGUGAAAUGCGUAGAUAUCGAGAGGAACACCUGCGGCGAAGGCGGGUUGCUGGGCUGACACUGACGCUGACAACGCGAAAGCUAGGGGAGCGAACGGG